CGGGACAGAGAGGAGGUGCUGGCAGGGAUCCGGAGCUGCUGGCAGGGAUCCGCAGCAGGCUGCCCCACAGGCCAGCACAGCCGAAACGCAGCUCUCGGUUCUGAGGGAGGGCUGGCCGGGGGUGUCCCGGCAAAGGCCGGGCCUGUGCCCCUCCUUUGAGCGCGGUCUCCCUCUGCUGUCCUGCCGCAGCUCUGCGCUGGGGACAAGCAAGGUGACCUCUGAGGAGCAGCCCGAGUACAGGACUUGGACAAACACCUUGAAAAAAAAUUUUUGCUUGAUGCUGUUUAGUUUCACAAGGAAGACUUUAAUGUCUGGGAAUAUCGGUCCCGAGCGCUGGAGGCUUCACAGUGGAAAAUAAAUAAAUAAAGAACAGCUGGGAAUGGAGCUGCCCAAUCGGGUUUCCAUUACUAGUAAAAAGUAAUAACCAGUAACAGCUUCUUCUUUAAGAGAAGUAACAUGAAUUUCUAAGCAGCAGCAAUGAUUCUCUGAAGAAAGUGGAAUAUGAAAAAUGUUCACAGCUUUUACCUUUAGAUGGGAGGAAAACAUGGAGCUAACAUCUGACUGAGGCUGGGCAAGUCCUUGCACAUCCCUGUAUCCACAUGCAAGGUAUCAGGAUUCUGAAGAUAGCCCAUGAGACAGCAUAUGAUCAGCCUCUCCAAGAGCCUCUGGGCUCUUAUUUUUUUGCAGACCAGCAGAACUUCUAAGCUAGUCUCAGUUCUGAAAGGACUGCCAAGUUCACAGAAGAAUCAAUAGCCAAGGAUAUUCACAUAGGAUAAGAUUUACAAAGCAUGUUUCACAGACAGUAACAACUGGGACCUCGGAGCACUUACUGGAACCAACAAAAUGACAACUGAUAUGUCCUCCAGUGAAUCUAUGUUAAGACGUUCUGUCUGCAGUAAUUAAAAACUAGGUAGAUCUUUGAUAACACUUAUUGCCUUUUCCAAGACCCCUUCUGUAAGGAGGGCUUGUAAUUCUGAGGAGGAAAUGAACAACUCCAAAACGGAGGGAGAUAAAGAAGAUGUCAGUGUCAAGAGUCUUAGACAUGGCCUGUCAGCUGAAUUUUAUGUUUCUGCUAAAUUAAAAUCAGAAACUCAUUACAGAAAAUGAAACAAGAAGGUAGUUCAGUCACUUUUUAAGAUCACCAUCACCAUCAGCCUCUGGACAGUUGAGAAGCUUUUUGUCUAUCUACUGU